rnacentral:misc_RNA from 1 species
UCCGCGUUAUUCGCGGCUUUCACCGGCUUCACCCUGCAUGUCAAGCCCUGGUAAGGUUCUUCGCGUUGCGUCGAAUUGGGCCACAUGCUCCGCCGCUUGUGCGGGCCCCCGUCAAUUCCUUUGAGUUUUAGCCUUGCGGCCGUACUCCCCAGGCGGGGUGCUUAAUGCGUUAGCUGCGGCACGGAAGACGUCGAUAGCCUCCCACACCUAGCACCCAUCGUUUACGGCUGGGACUAC